GAACUUCGAUCAAAUUGUCCAUCACUCUGAUACAAUAAGGAGGAGAGUGGGAAUAGGAAGACUCUGGCAGCCUGAAUGUGACAAAGUGCUGAGAGGCCCCGGGAGAUCCCUUCUGUGGCAAUGGCUCUGACUGUGUGUUCAGCGCUGUUCUUAAACAUCAAAGGACAUCUCUGGAAGGAGACCCACAGGUGAAUGGUGAUAACAGUUGUUCAACAUCAGUUCAGCAGCAUCAGUUUUCCAUCAUCUGCCUCAAAUUAGGGUUCAAUUCCUGUAUAUUUAGCAUGUUCCCUAUAAUUACAGAGUGAAUAAAUGAAUAAGUAGACGAGAAGAGCUUGUGAAUAAAAUACUUCUUAAUAGCAGAUACUUCCUAAUUCCAAAAGUCACUUUUCCCGGACAUUGCAGAGAACUACACUUUUUUUUUUCUAUUAUAGAUUUACUUCUAUAAUUACAUUUUGCUUGGGUUAAUACUGAAACUCAUGUUUUUAAGUGCUUUCUCACUAAUUAUGUGAAUUUACAAGCUUAGAGGGAACUGCAGAGCAAGGAGACAUCAAGAGUAAGCUAAAAAUGUUCCAGUGAUAAUUCUUAAGCGGGUAAUACAGUUAAUUCCUCUAAAUGCCAGCAUGUGUUACCUAUAUGUUUCACCAGCUCCUGCUCCCUCCCAAAUAACUAGACUUGAAAGGAGGAACUACCUCUCAUGUAUGUCUUGCACAUUGUCAAUGCUUUGUCUGAUAAAAGGGGAGGAGGUUAAUUAUAAAUGUGUUCAAACUAUGUUCUGUAGACGCCUUUAUUUUUUAAAAUAUUGAAAUUCUGGCGAUUCACCUUAGGUGACAAUAGGUCCCAUUCUUAAAUUUUAGUUUUCUUCUUUGUGAGUUGGAAAUAGGUUGCUG